rnacentral:rRNA from 1 species
GAUGAACGCUGGCGGCGUGCCUAAUACAUGCAAGUCGAGCGAACAGACGAGGAGCUUGCUCCUCUGACGUUAGCGGCGGACGGGUGAGUAACACGUGGAUAACCUACCUAUAAGACUGGGAUAACUUCGGGAAACCGGAGCUAAUACCGGAUAAUAUAUUUAACCGCAUGGUUCAAUAGUGAAAGACGGUUUUGCUGUCACUUAUAGAUGGAUCCGCGCCGCAUUAGCUAGUUGGUAAGGUAACGGCUUACCAAGGCAACGAUGCGUAGCCGACCUGAGAGGGUGAUCGGCCACACUGGAACUGAGACACGGUCCAGACUCCUACGGGAGGCAGAAGUAGGGAAUCUUCCGCAAUGGGCGAAAGCUUGACGGAGCAACGCCGCGUGAGUGAUGAAGGUCUUCGGAUCGUAAAACUCUGUUAUUAGGGAAGAACAAAUGUGUAAGUAACUAUGCACGUCUUGACGGUACCUAAUCAGAAAGCCACGGCUAACUACGUG